UAAUGUCUAUGGAAGGGUAAGUUUUAUGGUUCAUUAGAUUUUUUGCCCAAAAGAGCUUUCAUAUCUUGGUUUUUGAUUAUUGAACACCUAUCCGUAGCUAGCUUAAUGAUGGGUGAAUUUCAUCGUUGUUUUGUUUGGCCUUUUCAGUUCUCACCUAAAAAAUAAAGCUCACUUCUGUGCUGCUGUAGGUGGAGCUGGGAGCAGCACAGCAAGUCGAAAGGGCAUGGUUGAUGCUCUAGCAGAUAUGAAAAAGAUUAGCGUACUCUCAACAAAUUGAAGAUGUUCAGAAAUAUUCAAAGUCUUUAACGGAUAUGAGAACUACCAUGAGUUUUUUCCAAACAAAAGACAUGAAUGAGUUGUUAGAGUUCCACAAGAAAUUAGAAUCCAUUCUUGAACACUUGACUGAUGAGACACAGGGUUGGUUUUAUCAAGGUUUGAAGGAUUCCCUACAAAGAAGUUAGAAACAAUGAGGACAGCAGCAGCACUCCACUUGAAAUUAAAUCCAAUGAUCUUAGAACUACACAAUUGGAAAGUAGAGGCUCCCCUACGUCCGCUCCUUGACAAUACUGAGCGUUAUUUCACCAAGAUCAAAAGGAGAGAUAGAUAAACUAGAGCAAACAAAAGAUGAAGAAACUAAGAAAUUUCAGAGUCAAAAGAUCCAUGACUUCAAUAUCUUCCCAGGCUGCAUGGAGCUGGCACUAAAGGUAGUUUGCUAAAAAAGUUGCACAUAUUUAGCUACUGUGUUUGAACUUUAGAAGAUUUAGUUUUAUUUCUUUAUUUGUGAUAAAAUAUUAUUAGUUUGAUGUGUGAUACAUAGUGUUUUAUCAGUUUGGUCAAAUAUCACCUCCUUUUGGGUUAUGUUGUUGACGAUUGUGAUUCCUUUUUACACCUAAAAUGUUCACAAAUUGGAAAUCUUUAGCAACAUUUGAA